AUUGAACGCUGGCGGCGUGCUUAACACAUGCAAGUCGAACGGUAGCAGAUCUUUCGGGAUGCUGACGAGUGGCGAACGGGUGAGUAAUGUAUAGUUAAUUUGCCUCUUGGAGGGGGAGUAACAGUUGGAAACGAACUGCUAAUACCUCAUACUCCUCUAUGCUUAAUGUGUAGAGGGAAAGUAGUUAUUUCGUCCAAGAGAUAAGACUAUAUGGUAUCAGGUAGUUGGUGGGGUAAGUAGCCUACCAAGCCUAUGACGCCUAGCUGGUCUGAGAGGAUGAUCAGCCACACUGGAACUGAGACACGGUCCAGACUCCUACGGGAGGGCAGCAGUGGGGAAGUAUUGCACAAAUAGGAGGGAAACUACUGAUGCAGCAACGCCGCGUGGAGGAUGACGCAUUUCGGUGUGUAAACUCCUUUAUAUGGGAAGAUAAUGACGGUACCAUAUGAAUAAGCACCGGCUAACUCCGUGCCAGCAGCCG
rnacentral:rRNA from 1 species